rnacentral:rRNA from 1 species
CCUACGGGCGGCAGCAGUGGGGAAUAUUGGGCAAUGGGCGCAAGUCUGACCCAGCAACGCCGCGUGAAGGAAGAAGGCUUUCGGGUUGUAAACUUCUUUUCUCAGGGACGAAGCAAGUGACGGUACCUGAGGACUAAGCCACGGCUAACUACGUGCCAGCAGCCGCGGUAAUACGUAGGUGGCAAGCGUUAUCCGGAUUUACUGGGUGUAAAGGGCGUGUAGGCGGGAAAGCAAGUCAGAUGUGAAAACCAUGGGCUCAACCUGUGGCCUGCAUUUGAAACUGUUUUUCUUGAGUACUGGAGAGGCAGACGGAAUUCCUAGUGUAGCGGUGAAAUGCGUAGAUAUUAGGAGGAACACCAGUGGCGAAGGCGGUCUGCUGGACAGCAACUGACGCUGAGGCGCGAAAGCGUGGGGAGCAAACAGGAUUAGAUACCCGGGUAGUC